rnacentral:rRNA from 1 species
UACGUAGGGUGCAAGCGUUAAUCGGAAUUACUGGGCGUAAAGCGUGCGCAGGCGGUUGUGCAAGACAGAUGUGAAAUCCCCGGGCUCAACCUGGGAAUUGCAUUUGUGACUGCACGGCUAGAGUGUGUCAGCGGGGGGUAGAAUUCCACGUGUAGCAGUGAAAUGCGUAGAGAUGUGGAGGAACACCGAUGGCGAAGGCAGCCUCCUGGGCCAGCACUGACGCUCAUGCACGAAAGCGUGGGGAGCAAACAGG